rnacentral:rRNA from 1 species
GACGAACGCUGGCGGCGUGCUUAACACAUGCAAGUCGAACGGAAAGGCCCUGCUUUUGUGGGGUGCUCGAGUGGCGAACGGGUGAGCAACACGUGAGUAACCUGCCCUUGACUUUGGGAUAACUUCAGGAAACUGGGGCUAAUACCGGAUAGGAGCUCCUGCUGCAUGGUGGGGGUUGGAAAGUUUCGGCGGUUGGGGAUGGACUCGCGGCUUAUCAGCUUGUUGGUGGGGUAGUGGCUUACCAAGGCUUUGACGGGUAGCCGGCCUGAGAGGGUGACCGGCCACAUUGGGACUGAGAUACGGCCCAGACUCCUACGGGAGGCAGCAGUGGGGAAUAUUGCACAAUGGGCGGAAGCCUGAUGCAGCACGCCGCGUGCGGGAUGACGGCCUUCGGGUUGUAAACCGCUUUCGCCUGUGACGAAGCGUGAGUGACGGUAAUGGGUAAAGAAGCACCGGCUAACUACGUGCCAGCAGCCGCGGUGAUACGUAGGGUGCGAGCGUUGUCCGGAUUUAUUGGGCGUAAAGGGCUCGUAGGUGGUUGAUCGCGUCGGAAGUGUAAUCUUGGGGCUUAACCCUGAGCGUGCUUUCGAUACGGGUUGACUUGAGGAAGGUAGGGGAGAAUGGAAUUCCUGGUGGAGCGGUGGAAUGCGCAGAUAUCAGGAGGAACACCAGUGGCGAAGGCGGUUCUCUGGGCCUUUCCUGACGCUGAGGAGCGAAAGCGUGGGGAGCGAACAGGCUUAGAUACCCUGGUAGUCCACGCUGUAAACGGUGGGUACUAGGUGUGGGGUCCACUCCACGGGUUCCGUGCCGUAGCUAACGCUUUAAGUACCCCGCCUGGGGAGUACGGCCGCAAGGCUAAAACUCAAAGGAAUUGACGGGGCCCCGCACAAGCGGCGGAGCAUGCGGAUUAAUUCGAUGCAACGCGUAGAACCUUACCUGGGUUUGACAUGGAUCGGGAGCGCUCAGAGAUGGGUGUGCCUCUUUUGGGGUCGGUUCACAGGUGGUGCAUGGCUGUCGUCAGCUCGUGUCGUGAGAUGUUGGGUUAAGUCCCGCAACGAGCGCAACCCUUGUUCACUGUUGCCAGCACGUUAUGGUGGGGACUCAGUGGAGACCGCCGGGGUCAACUCGGAGGAAGGUGGGGAUGACGUCAAGUCAUCAUGCCCCUUAUGUCCAGGGCUUCACGCAUGCUACAAUGGCUGGUACAGAGAGUGGCGAGCCUGUGAGGGUGAGCGAAUCUCGGAAAGCCGGUCUCAGUUCGGAUUGGGGUCUGCAACUCGACCUCAUGAAGUCGGAGUCGCUAGUAAUCGCAGAUCAGCAACGCUGCGGUGAAUACGUUCCCGGGGCU